rnacentral:rRNA from 1 species
AAUGAACGCUGGUGGCAGACCUAACACAUGCAAGUCGAACGAUUUAUAAAAACUUCGGUUUUUGUAAAGAGUGGCAAACGGGUGAGUAAUGCAUGGGAAUCUACCUAGAAGUUUGGGAUAACUAUUAGAAAUAGUAGCUAAUACCGGAUACACCCUGAGGGGGAAAGUUGACUUUUAGUCUUCGCUUUUAGAUGAGCCCAUGUUAAAUUAGUUAGUUGGUGGGAUAAUAGCCUACCAAGACGAUGAUUUAUAGCUGGUCUUAGAGGAUGAUCAGCCACACUGGAAUUGAGAUACGGUUCAGACUCCUACGGGAGGCAGCAGUAGGGAAUUUUCGACAAUGGACGAAAGUCUGAUCGAGCAACGCCGCGUGAGGGAAGAAGGUCUUCGGAUUGUAAACCUCUGUUAUAAGGGAAGAACAGUCAGAGCAGGAAAUGGCUUUGAUUUGACGGUACCUUAUCAGAAAGUGACGGCUAACUUCGUGCCAGCCGCGCGGUAAU